CACAGCACUAAACCUGACAAAGUUCAGGAAGUGUUUGGGCAACGCUCUCAGGUGCAUGGUGUGAUUCUUGAGGUGUCCUGUGCAGGGCCAGGAGUUAGACUUGAAGAUCCUGGUGGGUCCCUUCCAACUUAGCGUAUACUGCGGUUCUGUGAAUCUAUGCAUAUUUGGAACAAAUCCUUUUGUCAAGAGGUGGGUGGAUGCUGGAAGCUCUGCCUGUGCAGGGACUUGGCUUUCUCCUUGUCUUUCAGUACCAAAAUGAUCUCAAGUGGUUGAAUUCUUCUAGGCCUAGGGAUGGUUUUGGGGGGUUUUUGUUGUUAUUGCUAUUAAGUUUGGUGUUGCAUACCAUUUGGUAGGGGCAGGAGUUGACUGGACCUUUGAAGGAACAAGAUGUAUCUGGGAUGUUUUUCCUUUGUCUAUGGCGUCUGAAACAUGAUCAGUGGUCUUUCAUGCAGCUCUCACAUCGACAGAGUUGCCCUUACCUGUUUUGAAGAGAAACUAUACAAAGCUUCAGUGGCACUUAGAUAGCAAAGACACAAAAUAGGUUUUUGGCAAGGGGUAUAUCUUGGUAGAACUACCUCUUUUGAGAUAUACGUACCUGAAAGGCGCCAGAGUGCCAAGCAAAGAAUUAGAUUUCAACACUUGCUUUCUCCAUUGCCAAAUUUGGACCUCUUCCCAUGCAUACAGAUUUUAAAAAAAACCAAAACAACCAAACCAAAAAAGUUCAAUCACUUAGAAUCAUUUAGUAAAGAAUAAUGGGUGGGGGCCACAACUGGUGUGAAGGGUGAGACAGAACCAAUGUAUGUCUUUGUGCCAGCUGUUAAAGAUUGCUGUAAAAAGACUCAUCAUCAGAGAAUGUCCUGGAAAGUGGAAUUUGCAACAAUGAAUUGCAAAUUUCCAUCACAAGGUAAAGAUAUUUCCCCAAAAUAAUUUGUAAACUGGGAUUGAUGUUCGAGUAAAACACAAUUUUAAUUUGGCCAUGUUGAAACAACAGGUCAAUCCCUCAAAGAAAUCAAAAAAGAUAUUGCAUAUCUUCAGUCCAAGAUGUUUAACCUGUCACUGGACAACUCAGAAUGUUAGUGGGAUUUGUUUUUGAAGUGAUCGUACAUCUUGAACUGAGUCAAGCCCUUCGCUUUCUGUUGGAGGAUGAUCUCUUUUUCUUCUCUUUUUCUCCCAGUUCACUUAUUUUGUUUCUCUUUUUGAGCUACUUGCCUUAUCACAAAUAGCACAAAUUGGUUCUCUGGUUCUUGUAUUUGGUGAUUAUUUUUUGUAGCCUAUUUCUCAGUCUAGUUCAAGACCCAGUUUAGUUUACUGCAGCCUCAGAAAUGUUAGCUGAAAUGCUGAUUAACUGGAAGAGACAAGGUACUGCUCAAAAGUGGUGUGGGUGCAGAGAGGAUUAGCUGGUGGUGUUAGAACAAUUUUACAGUCUAAGACACGUUAUGAUGACGGUGUUUAGUACCCACUUAUUCAAAGUACUGUCCAGAGGUCAGGGGUAUGUCUGCCUCCCAACCAUCAUCCUCCUUCCUCCAGAGGUAUUUAAAUAAGAAAAGCAAAGAGGGCAUGAAGAAUUUCCCUAGUAGAAGUCAGACAGCAAAAAUGAGCAGUCCUGUCAGUCAAAGACCACAAUUAUUGCACAAUGCUUGUGCAGAGCUACCAGAAACACCUCUUCCAGAGAAGACGUAGAGUGAAGACUAUCAUCCACUUUGCCUUCCAAACUGCCCCUCAGGUCUGUUUAGCAUUUGAAAGAACUAUUGUAGACUUCUGGGGUAAGAUGAUUGAGAGGAAGAUGGUACUGUGGUUUUUAUCUUUGUGCUUUGCACCAUACCUCUGAGGUAGGUCAUGGCUUCUUCAGCUCCAUUUCUGUAGCAUCAGAGUUGGUCCACCUCUUCAGCUCUUCCAGCAGAGCCAAUUUAUAGAGUCCCCACAAAUGUCAGAAUUUUUAGCACUGAAGGCUGGUAUUCCUGUUGUGGAAGUACAGGUCUGUGAUUUGAGCAGUUGAUUUUAUCUGUGUUUAAAGAAAGCAACAAAAAUUUAAUACGCUGUUAAAAAUAGAUUAGGGUUUUGUUUAGUCCUUCAUACAAGUACAAAACAGACACUGAAAUGUGUUAUAGCAAUCAAAAGUUAAUUACAUUUCUGAAAAACCCCAGAUUUAGUGUGAAAGCUGUGUCAGAUACAAUUACUGUUUUUUAUUGUGAGAAGCAGAAAUUUGGCUCUAUUAGAGGAAAAAAAAGUAGCCAGAUUAAAGACAUACAAUCUGCUUGCUUACUGCAAUUGCCUAAAGGAAGUAAGAACACUAUUAGUCAGUUUCUUGUUGGGUGCUGGGCAUGUUCAUUUGCCUGUGACGUUUAGCUACUCUAUUUUUUCCUGCUUGGGUGUCUCCUGAACCAGAUCUUUGUCUGUAUGAUUGACAGGCAUUAAUGUUAAAAGGACUGCUGUAUCAUGCUCCAGUGGAAUCAACAGGGCAGUGGGAGUGGCCUACCUGCCGCAUGUACCAGGGGGACUCACCGUAACACGGUGGACUGGUUAAAAGCAAUAUGUUUAUUUUUUUUUCACGGGAUUGAGCUAAUCCCAUAUGCCCACGUGCUCUUUCUUGUGCAGAGCCAACUCUGAGUUUCAAUACCACAGUCUUAAUUCUGGAAUUCAGAGGCAGGCUGUACAGAGUCAUGAAGCUGACUCCAUGAGGAGUCCCUCAAAGGUCAGCAGUUUUCUGCUUUACCAUUAGGAAUGGUAUUGCCAGAUCCAGGUUGAUCCCUGCAGGUGUAUCCAAAUAUACUUGCUUCCCUGGUCUCCCGAGUUUGGGAUCUGGGUUCCACAGAGCAGGAGCACAUGAAAACAACUUGGGUGUAGGACAGUACUGACUCAGUGUUGAGAGAAGAAGCACCGAGCACCAAGCUAAAAAAGGAUAACCUUAUGGUCAGAGGGCCUGGAGCAAACGGGGCAGGAGUAACAGAGCUCAGUGACAGUCAGCAGCUGUACAGGCUGUUUGCCAUCCCUGAGCAAGCUCGGUAGGGCCACCCUUGACCAAAGUCAGCUUCAGCUUGUGCUCUAUGUGGAGCUGCUGACCAUCCAUGAGUUCAGAGCCUGGUGCUGCUCUGGCAGGUGGGGGUCUGGUUUGCUUCAAGCCCCUGAGCUAACCCAUGCCUGGCUGAUGUAGAUGGGUAUUGCAAACUGGGUUCCUCCUGAUGGAGCAGGUAUUUAGAAUAGGAACAAUGGAGCACAGCUUCUACAUUCUUUAUUUUCCUACCAUCAGGGUUGGUCUGCUGCAUCCAAGGUGGAUACUCCUCUACCCCGCCAUGUAAAAGAAUUAAAGUCUGUUUUCCUCCCCAAGUACUGCUGCAUCACUGCUCUCUUCACCUUAUAAACACUUUUGCAAUAGCAAUUAGUACUACAGAAUGUGGAUGUAUUACUUAAUCCCAUUUUUUUUCAUCUUCAGUGAGAAAUUUUGAUGAUAAUAUGACGAGGAUGUUGCUAUAGACAAAAAUGCAUCAAUAUAUUCUAGGAGCUGAAACUUGAGCUUCCAUGUUUUCAAUAGAUGCCAUGUGUAACAUCAGAGUAUUGGCAUAAAGCCUCAUGUUAUUAAAAAUGGACGUGAAAUGAGAUGUGGCUUUUUCUGUUCCUUUCACAAACAGUGAGAUAAAUGAGAGUCAUUUAUUAUUCUCUCUGUACCUGGAGGACUCCUUGCCUCCAGUUACUGUUGAGUAUGCAGGCAUAAUAAGGCUGCAUGUCAUUUUUUUGCAUUUAUAUGGAUGACUUUCAAAGUAAAACUCACCACAUCUUCAGGCCAAAAGCUUUCUCCUUGAGUCACAGCUCCUAUCAUUUUUUCCCCUCAGGCAUACUGAUCCUUAGCUAGUCAGGGAAGCAUGCACACAAAUGAUAGGUCAUUAGGAAAUUCUCUGAAUGGCAAAUCUCUGAAGUCAUCCCAAGUGCUAUUUGCCAUGCAUCAUGAUAAAACUUGUGAGUUUGCGG